AUCAAGGGAAAGAAAGAAUACUUUUCUUCAUUCCAUUGAGAUUCAAAACCAAGCGUGACAGCAAAGCAUUGCCAACUUUGCUUGCCUACCCUGCACUAAUGGCACAGCCUAAGACCAACCUUCACAAGCAUCUCUAUCUUUUAGCAUGCUUCUCCUUCAAAUAAACCCCAAAGCCAUGGAUUGCAAAUCAUCUCUGAAGCAGAAGUUCCAGAACAGGCUUUGUCUUAAACCAUGGAUUCUUUGGUCAAACAACUAAGGGGGAGAUUUUCUGGCAUACAACGCCAAAAUACAGAAGAGGCUGGCAGCAUCAGGGAUGCAAGAAUACCACCUCAACAGACUCAGAGUUUCAAAGAGAAGAAGAAAUCCCAGAACUGGUUCCAGAGACAGUUCAAUAGGCAAAUGAGUCAGGAUUAUGAUUCAAGCAAAAUAAUAGAGCAUGCAACCGCAGUGGCAGCUGCUACAUAUGCCAUCGCCACACUUGAAGAACCAGGCAUCCCAGAUCAGAAAAAGACAAGUGAACGCCCUGAAACCUCUUUUAUCAGAAGCAAGAGCAAAAAGGAGGAUACAACACGUUCAGCGCUAGAACCUGGUAGAGCAUCCAAGCGAUUCUCAGGUGAAACUUCAAUGAGACUUCCUGAAGGCAAAGAUACCAAGGUGCCAGAAACUGCUGCAGCAACUGGAAAGACACCCCAAAAACAAAAGUCCAUAGGGCCUGCGCCUUCAAUGAAAAAGACUCCAACUUUUGCUGAGCACUUGAAAAAAACUGACAGUAUACAACCUGAAAGUGCAGCACCAAAACCUGAUCUGCCUGCCACCAUUAAUCUAGAAAUGCCACCAACUGAAACUCAAAGGCAGAGUUCAAUGAGAGCUGAAAUCCCACCAACUGAAUCCAAAGGCCAGAGUCCAAUGAGAUUUAGAGCAGAAGAAACAGAAGCAGAAGUUUGGGAGAAAGCUGAGUUGGCUAAGAUCAAAGAACGGCACGAGAAGAUGAAUUCCACAAUACUUUCCUGGGAGGAAAAGAAGAAAGCAAAAGCCAGACGCCAACUAGAUAAGACAGAGAGUGAAGUGGAACGAAGAAGACUUAAAGCUUUAGAAAAAUUUGGCACUGAGAUGGAACAUAUUAACCAGGUUUCAAGAGGAGCAAAAACGCAGGCAGAAGAAAGGCGAAAGGAUGAAGAGUUAAAGGCAAAAGAAAAGGCAAACAUAAUUAGAACUACAGGGAAAGUUCCUAAGACAUGUCUCUGCUUAUGAAUUUAACCAGUUUACCUGGUUUUUCAGGGACAAAGGCAGUCUUUGAAGUUCAACAAAUUACCAAAUUCUUGCGAGGGAACUUUAAAUUUCCAUUGCAAACCAGCCGGAAUGACAUCAAGUGGCACCAUGGACAGGAAACGAAGUAUGGAAUCUUAAUUUGUUGAGUAGGGAAUUUCAAGACAGCCAAUUGAAGCCCUAGGACACAAUUCUUGCAGAGAGUGUGAACACACCAUAAGACAUAGGGCACAUUCUCAACGAUGUUGAAAGAUUCCCAGCAUAUUGGGCAUUCCAGUCCUUCGUCUCGGCUAGCAUUCGAACACACCUCAUCAUCUGAGCAGUCUUGAGAAGCUCGACUUGACUCUACUAAGUUUUUCCCUGACUUUUUCUUCAGUCCAAUACUUGCAAUGGCAUCUGAGGCAAAUUUCCACAUCGUGACAGAAGAAAAAGGUCUGAUUAGAUAAGAGCAUUAACUGCUAAAAAUGCAGAGUUUGACAUUCUCCUGUGAAAGACCCCUAUGCCAUGAAACUUAGCCUCAAAGAUUUCUAUCCAGGUUAAUUAUAAACAGCUCAUGUUGCUCACAUCAAACCUGUAAAUAGUCCAUAUUUACAAGGUCAAUAGCCCUCUAUGUAAUGUGAUAGUAAACUGUUAGAAACUGAAGUUAGAUUGAAGUAAGAUUGAUGAAGCAAUGCAAGUGUAUAGUUUCAAUUUUAUUAC